UACAGAGGGUGCAAGCGUUAAUCGGAUUUACUGGCGUAAAGCGCGCGUAGGCGGCUAAUUAAGUCAAAUGUGAAAUCCCGAGCUUAACUUGGGAAUUGCAUUCGAUACUGGUUAGCUAGAGUGUGGGAGAGGAUGGUAGAAUUCCAGGUGUAGCGGUGAAAUGCGUAGAGAUCUGGAGGAAUACCGAUGGCGAAGGCAGCCAUCUGGCCUAACACUGACGCUGAGGUGCGAAAGCAUGGGGAGCAAACAGGG
rnacentral:rRNA from 1 species